AUCUGUGCUCAUACCAUCUUGAACUUGACAGAUCUAAUCUGAUCUUGGAAGCUAAGCAUGCCUGGAUCAAGUCAGUACUAGGUUGGUAGAAAUCAUUUUUCAGGCCAGUGAGAAGACUCAGUGGGUAAAUAAA
rnacentral:rRNA from 14 species